AUUGAACGCUGGCGGCAUGCCUUACACAUGCAAGUCGAACGGCAGCACGGGAGCAAUCCUGGUGGUGAGUGGCGAACGGGUGAGUAAUACAUCGGAACGUGCCCGAUCGUGGGGGAUAACUACUCGAAAGAGUAGCUAAUACCGCAUACGAUCUACGGAUGAAAGCGGGGGAUCGCAAGACCUCGCGCGGACGGAGCGGCCGAUGGCAGAUUAGGUAGUUGGUGGGAUAAAACUUACCAAGCCGACGAUCUGUAGCUGGUCUGAGAGGACGACCAGCCACACUGGGACUGAGACACGGCCCAG
rnacentral:rRNA from 1 species